rnacentral:lncRNA from 10 species
GAGACAGAGUCUCACUUUGUCGCCCAGGCUGGAGUGCAGUGGUGCGAUCUUGGCUCACGGCAACCUCCGCCUCCAGGGUUCAAGCGAUUCUUCUGCCUCAGCCUCCUGAGUAGCUGGGACUACAGACGUGCACCACCAUGCCCUGCUAAUUGUUGUACUUUAAUCUAAUUAAUUAAUUAACUUUUUUUUUGAGAUGGAGUCUUGCUCUGUCGCCCAGGCUGGAGUGCAGUGGCGCGAUCUCAGCAGGGGAGUGGGGUCUCUCAGCGUGAAAACAGGAGUCAUUGUCAGCCUCGCUCCCCCAGCUCUGCCUCCCAUGACUGGCGUUUUUGGUUCUAUUCUAAUUUCCUGCUGGGUUCCCCAUGAACCUCCGCCUCCCGGGUUCAAGGGAUUCUCCUCCCUCAGCCUCCUGAGUAGCUGGGAUUACAGGCGUGUGCAACCACACCCAGCUAAUUUCUGUAUUUUUAGUAGAGAUGGGGUUUCACCAUGUUGGCCAGGCUGGUCUCGAACUCCUGACUUGAGGUGAUCCACCUGCCUCAGCCUCCCAAAGUGCUGGGAUUACAGGCGUGACCCACGGCACCCAGCCUAUCCCAAACCAUUUUUGCACAGUUAGGGAAAGCAUGGGCCAACCCCUGGGGCGGUCUUGGAGGGUCUAAUCUGCUCACAACUCCCUGGGGGCCUCUUCUGGCCCCAGGUGAGUGACUCAAGCCCAUUUCCCACCAGCACCUACUCUGAAUGACUUAUUCGUUUAUCCUGAGGGCUUUUGCCCAACUUCUCCUGCAUCUUACUCAGUGACAGGCACAGGACGGCACAGAGCAGAGCUGCCAACCGAUCGUGGCAGCACAAGGUGAACCGUGGGAUCCUUUUUUUUUUUUUUGAGUUGGGGUCUUGCUCUAUCACCCAGGCUGGAGUGCAGUGGCUGACGGUGACUUCUGUUUUCACGCUGGAGGCCCCACUCCCCUGCCACUCCUGAAGGCCCCCACACAUCUGGAUCCACAGGCCCAGAGGCAGCCUCAGGGAAUAAUUUUGGGGGAAAACUGGCUUCCUUUCUGAGGCCUGCUUCCUCAGCCCCACCCAGUGAUGGAGACACAGUCAGCAUUGGUUGUCGUUUUAUUAUUGUUUUCAGAGAUAGGGUCUGGCUCUGUCGCCCAGGCUGGAGUGCAGUGGCGUGAUCAUAGCUCACUGCAGCCUCCAAUUCCUGGGCUCAAGUGAUCCUCCUCCGUCAGCCUCCUCAGUAGCUAGGACUACAGGUGCAUACCACCAGGCCUGGCUAUUUAUUUUAUUUUUUGUAGAAAUAGGGUCUCACUAUAUUGCCCAGGUUGGUCUCAAACUCCUGGCCUCAAGUGAUCCUCC